rnacentral:rRNA from 1 species
GACGAACGCUGGCGGCGUGCCUAAUACAUGCAAGUAGGACGCAGAUGCGAACGGGUGUGUAACGCGUAGGUAUCUACACAUCAGAGGGGGAUAACUAUUGGAAACGAUAGCUAAUACCGCAUACUAGUAGAUGGACCUGUGUUGUAUUAGCUAGUAGGUAGGGUAACGGGCUACCUAGGCAACGAGUCAUAGCCGACCCGAGAGGGGGAAGGGCCACACCGGGACUGAGAAACGGCCCAGACUCCUACGGGAGGCAACCGUAGGGACUCAUCGGCAAUGUGGGUAACCCUGACCGGGCAGCGGCGCGUGUGUGGAGAAUGAUGUCGGGUCGUAAAACGCUGUUAUUUAGGAAGCGGUACUUAACCAGAAAGGGACGGCUAACUACGUGCCAGCAACCGCGGUAAUUC